AUGGGCAGCCCGGUGAUCUACUGGGUGGCCCUCUGUCUCCUUGGAGCAGGCACCGUGGAUGGUGGAAUCACACAGACCCCAAAAUACGUGCUCAAAGAGGAAGGACGAGAUGUGACCCUGGAAUGUGAACAGGAUUUUAAUUAUGACACCAUGUACUGGUACCGACAGGACCCAGGACAAAGGCCGAGACUAAUCUACUUCUCACUGUCUGCAAAGGAUGUUCAGAAAGGAGACAUGGCCGAAGGCUACGGUGCCUCUCGGGAGAAGAAGCCGCUCUUUCCUCUCACUGUGACGUUGACACAGAAGAACCAGACGGCUGUUUAUCUCUGUGCCAGCAGUAUAGACACAGCAUCCAAAGCAGCGGCUGCAUCAACACGCUUUGUGCAAUGGCACGAUGCCUCGGAGAACCACUAA